UGAUAUCUUUGAGAUUUUAUAGUUGCUAUAGUCUGUAGGUCUAGCCUACUUUUUAUGUAUAAUAUGCAUGAGAUCUGUUGGAGGAAUAAAGUCCACAUUUUAAAUGAUCUGCUUUCCCCUUGUCCCCAAUGCUGUCUGCCAAAAUGAAUUCGGUUCAGCUGGAGUUGCCACAUAACAACAAUACAAAGUUAAAUUGAACAGUAGCCUAAACAAUUUGAAGUAGGCCUACAUUAAGAAGAAUAGCAAUAAUAAACAACAAUUCAAUCAAUAGCCUAUAAUGAAAAUAAAUACAUACUAUAUGCUACAAACCAUAACACAUAAGAAAGGCUUAUUAAACUUGUUAAAGUUGAGCAUACUAUUUUAACAUUACAAGCUUCCUUGUGGGCCAACGUAACAAUGGAUCAAUCAUGUUGUAACUUGUCUAUAAAACGUGGGUGACUGAUAAACCAAUGUUGAUUUAAUGAAGGAACAAGGCUUCAAAUGAAAUUGACGUCAAACUAUAUGAGAACCAAUAAUGUUAAUAAUCAGAAUAGCAGUAAUAGCCCACUUGGCUACUAUGUUUUGACACUUCUACAAAAUCAGUUUGGUAGUCAUUUUAAUGUAACUAAAAUAUGCAGGCCUAAUAAUUUCCACGAUUUUUUAUGCUUUGCCUCUCGAUAAGCGCAUGCGCACACACAGCAUACCCAUCCCCCACCCCUGACUGACUUUUCAACGAACUCCUUGCCACUGGUGGUGACUUCAACCGUCACUUUUCUGUCAUGCAUUUGACUGCAAGCUGUACAAACUCUGCCGUCAUCAUAUCCAAGGCAGUGAGUUGUGAGGACUGCUUCCCUAAGAACACUGAGUGCAUUCUGGAAUAUUCCAAAUGUGUGCCACUUCCAUACAAAAUAAGUUCAAAUCCCGCAAGAGAGUUCACUCACCAGUGGGCUCCAUCAACAGACCAGGGCAAAGUCGGUCUGUCCUGCUACUACUACAUGCUACUUGACUAUGUCUGGAAGCCAUGGCUGCUGCCCUCAACAUGCUAAACUGAAACCCUCACAAAUAAACUGAUAUCAAUAAUUGGUGAUAACAUAACAUUGAUGGUGAUGGUGGCAAGGGUGCCUUCAUAAGGUGCCAUCCAGCAAGUCCCAGCCUGGAGCCAGAGGCUGGCACUGCACGUCAGAUGGGGGAGGAUCUAUGUUAGGCAUCAGAAAGGUGGUUUAAGCCAGAAGGAAAGAGCUUCUGCAGACAGUGUUGCAAUUAGACACCUGACUUUUACUGCCAAAGGGACCAUCAGAGCACCUUUCCCUACCAUCUAUACCAGAAGAGGACGGACAAGGGCCCAAAAUGUUUUAAAGGACGUUGCACGCCCAGACCAUGGACUGUUUAAACCACUGUGGUCAAGCAGAAGUCUCUGUUCUCACUCGAGGAAGGUCAUUGAGAGGGGGCGAGUGUCACUGCGUAAGCCCCCUGCAGGCGAGAAAGCCACGUUGAUUUGAAUAUUGAUUGAUAAAUACAAUAAAGGCCAUGUAACAAAUUUUAUUGCCUGUCGUACAGUAUAUUUUUCAUGGUAAAGUAAAAUAAGUCAUUGGGAUUUAGCAGGUGUAAGUAAAUAAUGUAAUUAAGUGUAUGUAAAAUUAAUGUGAAAUAUUAUUUAAGUUAAAGAUGCACAAUAAGCUCAGUGAUGGUUCUGUACUAUCUCACAUUUAAAACCAUUACAUAAAUCGCCAUAUAUAAAUCACAUGAUUAAUUUUAAAAAUAAAGGCAUAAAGCCUAUCGAAAAGCAAAUAAAGGCAUACACAUAAAUGCCUGCAAAAUUAGAAACAUGGAUCAUAUCAGGUGAGAAUAUGAAGUCUGGAUAUCUUGCAUGUCGUCGCAGUCCCAUUCAGGACUUUUGAUAUGCUCCUGAUAUGGCAAUUGGCACUAAAAUAUCAGGAGCAUAUCAACCAAUAUAUUUCCUGAUAUUACGCAUAUCAGGAAAUAUAUCACUAUGAAUAUUCCCUGAUUCAGAGCCUUUUCACCCAGUGCCAUGGCCAGAUCCCUUUAUUGUUCCCAAAUUUUCUUCUAAUGUUGAAUUAAGACUCGAGCACGGAAAUAACGGAUAUCAUAAAGAUGGAUCACUGCUGUCGGAUGUGAGUAAGGAUGUGCCUAAAGAGUUGAAGAGUGACAUUCUGGACAAACUUGCAGAGGCCAUGUAUACCUUUAAAACCCUUCCAACUAGUGCAGAAUGUGGCCUUGUGGCAAAAUCACUGAUUGAUAAAUACCCAUGCUUGAUGGAAAGGGGAUCUUCCUGCGGGUGGUAUGGCUGGAAGUGCAGACUGGUGUUCAAAAUGGGGAAUUUUAGGCAGAAACUGCGCAUUGCUGGGUCAUUGGAGCUCUCUGUGAGGAAGUCAAAGAGGUUAAUUUUCUGCCUGACUUUCCUCAUGGAAAGAGCUCGAACACUCUUGAAGAGGAGAGAUGUGCAUUAGAGAGUGAGAUAAAAAAAAAGACAAUUGAUGGAAAGAAAGUGGAUGCCCUCAUGGAGAGCACCUUUUCUUUGAGAAGGAAAGAGGUAAUCGGAGAUGAGCCUCCAGUGAAGGAGAUGAAAAGCAGGUGGUCUGCUUUGUUUUCAGAGCGACAGAUUGUGACAGAAUUCAGACGGAUAGUGUCCAUGGACCUCAAGAAAACCUUUUUUGAUCAACUUGAUGAAUAUGUGCCAAGAUUCCUGAGGUUAUACAGGGCGAGAGACAAUCCUGUCAAAGAACUGCAGGUCCUUCUCCAGUCUCUGGAUGAAGAUAUUUCGAACCAGCAGAGGAGAGCUGUUGUCCUUCUUGCCCUGCCUUACUUCCUUAAAGAGGAGCCCUCAAAUUUUUACAAGACCUGUGAUCCGACUGAUGAAGAAGGCGAGAUGCUCAAAGGGAUGGAGAUCGGGAUCCUGGUGAUCACAGAGGAGAAUCCUGGGAACCUUCUCCCAAAGGAAAUCAUUGAUGUGGCGCUGGUUUUGGAAGAGGAAAUAGUUCUUCAUGACCUGAAGGAUGUCCCCAGCGCCUUUGCCCUUCUAAUUGGUCUGCUGUACGCCCUUAACAUAGACUAUCCAAAGGACCUGAAGUAUACCUUCGAGGUAAUCCAAAAGGUAAUUAUGAAUAUAGGAGGAGACGCAUGCUCAUCUAGAGUACAUGGACUUCGGAACAGACUCCUGUGUAAAACACCCUAAAACUUUGUCAAGCAGCUGAUGUGAGGGAAGUGUGCAUUCACACACUGGAGUGGAAUUGAGUUCUGAGAUGCUUUUUCUGUUUUCUGUACACUAAAACUAAAUGCCAUUGUUCCCAAUCGUUCCUGUGCCAUACAAUCAUAUGGAAUCUAAAUGGAUUGUUGCUCACCUGUCAACUGCAUUGUUGGAAAGUUAACUGUCAGGCAGCUGAUGUUUUGUUAAACUGAUGUUUGUGUGUUGGAGGGAAAGUGUUAUCAGGCACAC